GUGAUUGUCACAGGAUAUAGCUUUGAAGAAUCCUGCGCUUAGCCUGGGCUGGGAAAGAUGAGAUUCCCGGGCAGUUUUUCCAACGUCCGACUCACUCCUCAGGCUGCUCGGGGGUCUCCCCGUUGCAAUCUGCGCCUUGCGCAGGGAAAAAAGAAUGGAAAGUUGCUGGUCUUCGAAAGGGGCGGACUUCGUCGCCACUUUCAGCGGCUCGUCGCCUGCUGAAUCCACAGCAGACAGGGUCUCACUAUGUUGCCCAGGCUGGUCUCAAACUCCUGGCCUCAGCCUCCUGCAUAGCUGGGAUUACAGGCGCAAACCAGCACACCCUGCUACUUCUCCCAUUAGGAGGGGAUUCAACUCAAUACGUAUUUAUCGAGAAUCUAUUAUGUAAAAUGCAAUGUUCACAGCAUCUUCACCGGGAGAAGAUUCUAUCUUAAGGAAACUCUUUUCUCAUGCAUAAGAAGCACCUCCUUACCUGUUAAAAGUUUAAUCAUGAGAUUGCAGGAAUUCAGUCACAUCUUCAGGCUCCACUUCUAAUUCUAGUUCUCUUGGUAUUCCACCGCACCUGCAGUGACUUCCUCCACCGAAGUCUUGAACCUCUCAAAGUCAUCCAUGAGGGUUGGAAUCAACUUCUUCCAAAGUCCUGUUAAUGUUUGUAGUGUUAUGAAAUAUAUAUACAUAUAGGUUUUCAUACACAGGAAACAGAAUCUCUUUGACCUUCUCUUGCCUUCCUUUUACCUGCCUUCCUUUCACCUACCCCAAAGCAGGACUCUAAUCUUCUGCUUUUAUAAUUGUGGAUCAUAAGACUCAUUUCAGAGAGGGUCCCAACCCAUGGCCUGGGGGAAGGAAUGCUGAUAUAAUGAAGCUUCCAUAAAAAUCCAAGAGGACAGCUUCCUGAUAGCUGAACAAGUGGAGGUUUCUGGGGAAUGGCUACCUGGGGAGGGCAUGGGAGCUCCGUGUCCCUUCCUCCAUACCUCUCCCUGUGCAUCUCUUCAUCUGGAUCCUUCGUGAUAUCCUUUAUAAUAAACUGGUAAAUAUAA